GCGUUCGGGUAAUCGCUGCAAGGAGCUUACAGCAAAUUGUAGAGGAAAGUCCAUGCUCGCACAAGCUGAGAUGCUUGUAGUGUUCGUGCCUAGCGAAGUCAUAAGCUAGGGCAGAAGAGGAAUCUUCUGACGGCAGGGAAAAUGCCUAAGUCCUUUGGAUAUGGCAUGACUACCUUUAAUGUGCCACAGUGACGUAGCCUGUUCAGAAAUGAAUAGGGUGGAACGAGGUAAACCCCGCGAGCGAGAAACCCAAAUUAUGGUAGGGGCACUUUCUCUAAGGAAAUGAACGAGGAGAAGGACAGAUUCACUUGAAUCUGUAGAUAGAUGAUUACCACCGGAGUACAAGACGGGAGUCGCUUGUAGUACGAAGGUACAAAACAUGGCUUACAGAA
rnacentral:RNase_P_RNA from 1 species